ensembl:rRNA 5S_rRNA 5S ribosomal RNA
UGCCGUAAAAUAUUUAUUAGGCAAAGCCUGAUCUCAUCAAACCUCAGAGGCUAAGCAGGGACAGGCCUGGGCAGCACUUGGAUGGGAGACCACUGGGACCAGGGGCCACAGUGG